AGAGUUUGAUCCUGGCUCAGGAUGAACGCUAGCGGGAGGCUUAACACAUGCAAGUCGAGGGGCAGCAUUCACUUCGGUGAGAUGGCGACCGGCGAACGGGUGCGUAACGCGUAUGCAACCUACCUUUUACAAAGGGAUAGCCCAUGGAAACGUGGAUUAAUACCUUAUAGUACUAUAAAUCUGCAUAGAUUAAUAGUUAAAACUUAGGUGGUAAAAGAUGGGCAUGCGUCUGAUUAGUUAGAUGGUGAGGUAACGGCUCACCAUGGCGACGAUCAGUAGGGGUUCUGAGAGGAUUAUCCCCCACACUGGUACUGAGACACGGACCAGACUCCUACGGGAGGCAGCAGUGAGGAAUAUUGGUCAAUGGGCGCGAGCCUGAACCAGCCAUCCCGCGUGCAGGAUGACGGCCCUAUGGGUUGUAAACUGCUUUUCUAUGCCAAGAAACCGCCGGUCGUGAUCGGUGUUGACGGUAGCAUAGGAAUAAGGACCGGCUAACUCCGUGCCAGCAGCCGCGGUAAUACGGAGGGUCCAAGCGUUAUCCGGAUUCAUUGGGUUUAAAGGGUGCGCAGGUGGGGAUGUAAGUCAGUGGUGAAAUACUGCCGCUUAACGGUAGAACUGCCAUUGAUACUGCAUCUCUUGAGUAUGGUUGAGGUAGGCGGAAUGUGUUGUGUAGCGGUGAAAUGCAUAGAUAUAACACAGAACACCGAUUGCGAAGGCAGCUUACUAAGCCAUUACUGACACUGAGGCACGAAAGCGUGGGUAGCGAACAGGAUUAGAUACCCUGGUAGUCCACGCCGUAAACGAUGUUCACUCGCUGUUUGCGAUACACAGCAAGCGGCUUAGCGAAAGCAUUAAGUGAACCACCUGGGGAGUACGAUCGCAAGGUUGAAACUCAAAGGAAUUGACGGGGGCCCGCACAAGCGGAGGAACAUGUGGUUUAAUUCGAUGAUACGCGAGGAACCUUACCUGGGCUUA
rnacentral:rRNA from 1 species